UACGUAGGGCGCAAGCGUUGUCCGGAAUUAUUGGGCGUAAAGAGCUCGUAGGCGGUCUGUCGCGUCUGCCGUGAAAACCCGAGGCUUAACCUCGUGGCUUGCGGUGGAUACGGGCAGACUAGAGGUAGGUAGGGGAGAAUGGAAUUCCCGGUGUAGCGGUGAAAUGCGCAGAUAUCGGGAGGAACACCAGUGGCGAAGGCGACUUCCUGGCCUGUUCUUGACGCUGAGGCGCGAAAGCUAGGGUAGCAAACGGG
rnacentral:rRNA from 1 species